UCAAGUUAUGACAAAAGGUUCUACAUUGGGAGUACUGCAAGUGUGGAGAGAAUAGACAAACGGCUUCUAAGCAUUUCACCUCCUCACUGCUUCACUCGGCUACCAAGGUCUGUGAGAGAGCGUUCCAACUGGAAGGCAAGUGAAUGGAAGAAUUGGAUUCUCUACUACUUCCUCCUAUGUACUGCUGAUAUACUUCCACUGCGAUACUGGAGGCACAUGUGCCAAUUUUCUGAGGCACUUCAUAUUCUCCUGUCAACUGAGUUGACUGAGAACAUGGUUAAAAAAGCAGACCAUCUUCUGUCAGAGUUUGUAUGUCACGUUCCAACCCUGUAUGGGGAGAGCAGCGUGACAUUUAAUGUACACCAACUGCAACACCUGGCUUCAACUGCUAGAAACCUUGGCCCACUUUGGGCAAAUUCAGCAUUUAGCUUCGAGAGUGGCAACGGACGUCUCCUGAAGCAGAUAACAGCAGCAAAAGGCGUGCCACACCAAGUGAUUGAACGAGUGAUCAUCUCCCAGGAUUUGCACGAAGUGCUGUCAUCAGAACAGCUUCCUCCUGAUGCAUCCUCGUACUGUAAAGGCUUGUUGGGCUGUGAACCUAUCCAGAAUGCUGUGUCUGUGGGGAAUGUGUGUCUUCUAGGAAAAGGGAAAUUCGUUUCGACUUUCACAUCUCAUGAACAGACUGCUCUUGCAGAAGUUCUGGGUGAGUGCCCCACAAGUGCUCUUGAGUACAAACGCUUUAUAACUGGUGGGGAAGUAUUCCACACAGUGAGCUAUGCCGCAUCAAUGAGAAGAAACUGUUCCGCAAUAGUUUGCAGUGAUGAUGCAUCAUAUUGCAUCUUGCGGGUUCUUAAAGUGGCUUGUGAGGAACAUGAAAGAUGUGUACUGCUGUGCA